GAUGAACGCUGGCGGCGUGCCUAAUACAUGCAAGUCGAGCGAACAGACGAGGAGCUUGCUCCUCUGACGUUAGCGGCGGACGGGUGAGUAACACGUGGAUAACCUACCUAUAAGACUGGGAUAACUUCGGGAAACCGGAGCUAAUACCGGAUAAUAUAUUGAACCGCAUGGUUCAAUAGUGAAAGACGGUUUUGCUGUCACUUAUAGAUGGAUCCGCGCCGCAUUAGCUAGUUGGUAAGGUAACGGCUUACCAAGGCAACGAUGCGUAGCCGACCUGAGAGGGUGAUCGGCCACACUGGAACUGAGACACGGUCCAGACUCCUACGGGAGGCAGCAGUAGGGAAUCUUCGGCAAUGGGCGAAAGCCUGACGGAGAAACGCCGCGUGAGUGAUGAAGGUCUUCGGAUCGUAAAACUCUGUUAUUAGGAAAGAACAAAUGUGUAAGUAACUAUGCACGUCUUGACGGUACCUAAUCAGAAAGCCACGGCUAACUACGUG
rnacentral:rRNA from 1 species